GGAUAUCGGUCUUUGGGGAGCCUGGUCUUUUGCUUGGACAAAUGCAAGUGCACUUGGAGAUUAGGCUGAACAUAAAAUGAAAGAAAAGUCAAAAAGCACAAAGAGCGGGAGGACUGAGAUCUUGUCCUAAAGUGGAGCAAAGGAGUGGAGCAUGAUGGACUGCAGAGAUAGGCUGUAAAACUAAGCUUGACUGCGUAUCCGGGUGUUUUCUUGAGCGCCGCAUUGUUCACUGAAAGUGAAAUGCUGAUUCUAAUUGAGAGAAGCACACAGGAGCAUGUUCAAAUAGCUCAUUUGGAGCCUGUGUCAUCGCUUACGGCCAUACCACCCUGAACACGCCCGAUCUCGUCCGAUCUCGGAAGCUAAGCAGGGUCGGGCCUGGUUAGUACUUGGAUGGGAGACCGCCUGGGAAUACCAGGUGCUGUAAGCUUUUCUUUCUUUUCUUGCAUCUUUUUGCCGUGUUCUCUCUCCAAGAGGCUAGGAUAUCGGUCUUUGGGGAGCCUGGUCUUUUGCUUGGACAAAUGCAAAUACACUUGGAGAUUAGGCUGAACAUAUAAAUGAAAGAAAAAGUCAAAAAGCACAAAGAGCGGGAGGACUGAGAUCUUGUCCUAAAGUGGAGCAAAGGAGUGGAGCAUGAUGGACUGCAGAGAUAGGCUGUAAAACUAAGCUUGACUGCGUAUCCGGGUGUUUUCUUGAGCGACGCAUUGUUCACUGAAAGUGAAAUGCUGAUUCUAAUUGAGAGAAGCACACAGGAGCAUGUUCAAAUAGCUCAUUUGGAGCCUGUGUCAUCGCUUACGGCCAUACCACCCUGAACACGCCCGAUCUCGUCCGAUCUCGGAAGCUAAGCAGGGUCGGGCCUGGUUAGUACUUGGAUGGGAGACCGCCUGGGAAUACCAGGUGCUGUAAGCUUUUCUUUUUUUGCAUCUUUGCCGUGUUCUCUCUCCAAGAGGCUAGGAUAUCGGGUCUUUGGGGAGCCUGGUCUUUAGCUUGGACAAUGCAAGUGCACUUGGAGAUUAGCUGAACAUAAAUGAAAGAAAAAGUCAAAAAGCACAAAGAGCGGGAGGACUGAGAUCUUGUCCUAAAGUGGAGCAAAGGAGUGGAGCAUGAUGGACUGCAGAGAUAGGCUGUAAAACUAAGCUUGACUGCGUAUCCGGGUGUUUUCUUGAGCGCGCAUUGUUCACUGAAAGUGAAAUGCUGAUUCUAAUUGAGAGAAGCACACAGGAGCAUGUUCAAAUAGCUCAUUUGGAGCCUGUGUCAUCGCUUACGGCCAUACCACCCUGAACACGCCCGAUCUCGUCCGAUCUCGGAAGCUAAGCAGGGUCGGGCCUGGUUAGUACUUGGAUGGGAGACCGCCUGGGAAUACCAGGUGCUGUAAGCUUUUCUUUUUCUUGCAUCUUGUGCCGUGUUCUCUCUCCAAGAGGCUAGGAUAUGGGUCUUUGGGGAGCCUGGUCUUUUGCUUGGACAAAUGCAAAUACACUUGGAGAUUAGCCUUCAAGAUAAAUGAAAGAAAAAGUCAAAAAGCACAAAGAGCGGGAGGACUGAGAUCUUGUCAUGAAGUGGAGCAAAGGAGUGGAGCAUGAUGGACUGCAGAGAUAGGCUGUAAAACUAAGCUUGACUGCGUAUCCGGGUGUUUUCUUGAGCGCGCAUUGUUCACUGAAAGUGAAAUGCUGAUUAUAAUUGAGAGAACCACACAGGAGCAUGUUCAAAUAGCUCAUUUGGAGCCUGUGUCAUCGCUUACGGCCAUACCACCCUGAACACGCCCGAUCUCGUCCGAUCUCGGAAGCUAAGCAGGGUCGGGCCUGGUUAGUACUUGGAUGGGAGACCGCCUGGGAAUACCAGGUGCUGUAAGCUUUUCUUUUUUUGCAUCUUUGCCGUGUUCUCUCUCCAAGAGGCUAGGAUAUGGGUCUUUGGGGAGCCUGGUCUUUAGCUUGGACCAAUGCAAAUACACUUGGAGAUGAGCCUUCAAGAUAAAUGAAAGAAAGAGUCAAAAAAGCACAAAGAGCGGGAGGACUGAGAUCUUGUCAUGAAGCGGAGCAAAGGAGUGGAGCAUGAUGGACUGCAGAGAUAGGCUGUAAAACUAAGCUUGACUGCGUAUCCGGGUGUUUUCUUGAGCGACGCAUUGUUCAUUGAAAGUGAAAUGCUGAUUAUAAUUGAGAGAACCACACAGGAGCACGUUCAAAUAGCUCAUUUGGAGCCUGUGUCAUCGCUUACGGCCAUACCACCCUGAACACGCCUGAUCUUGUCCGAUCUCGGAAGCUAAGCAGGGUCGGGCCUGGUUAGUACUUGGAUGGGAGACCGCCUGGGAAUACCAGGUGCUGUAAGCUUUUCUUUUCUUGUAUCUUGUGCCGUGUUCUCUCUCCAAGAGGCUAGGAUAUGGGUCUUUGGGGAGCCUGGUCUUUAGCUUGGACCAAUGCAAAUACACUUGGAGAUGAGCCUUCAAGAUAAAUGAAAGAAAGAGUCAAAAAAGCACAAAGAGCGGGAGGACUGAGAUCUUGUCAUGAAGCGGAGCAAAGGAGUGGAGCAUGAUGGACUGCAGAGAUAGGCUGUAAAACUAAGCUUGACUGCGUAUCCGGGUGUUUUCUUGAGCGACGCAUUGUUCAUUGAAAGUGAAAUGCUGAUUCUAAUUGAGAGAACCACACAGGAGCACGUUCAAAUAGCUCAUUUGGAGCCUGUGUCAUCGCUUACGGCCAUACCACCCUGAACACGCCCGAUCUCGUCCGAUCUCGGAAGCUAAGCAGGGUCGGGCCUGGUUAGUACUUGGAUGGGAGACCGCCUGGGAAUACCAGGUGCUGUAAGCUUUUCUUUUCUUGUAUCUUGUGCCGUGUUCUCUCUCCAAGAGGCUAGGAUAUGGGUCUUUGGGGAGCCUGGUCUUUAGCUUGGACCAAUGCAAAUACACUUGGAGAUGAGCCUUCAAGAUAAAUGAAAGAAAGAGUCAAAAAAGCACAAAGAGCGGGAGGACUGAGAUCUUGUCAUGAAGCGGAGCAAAGGAGUGGAGCAUGAUGGACUGCAGAGAUAGGCUGUAAAACUAAGCUUGACUGCGUAUCCGGGUGUUUUCUUGAGCGACGCAUUGUUCAUUGAAAGUGAAAUGCUGAUUAUAAUUGAGAGAACCACACAGGAGCACGUUGAAAUAGCUCAUUUGGAGCCUGUGUCAUCGCUUACGGCCAUACCACCCUGAACACGCCCGAUCUCGUCCGAUCUCGGAAGCUAAGCAGGGUCGGGCCUGGUUAGUACUUGGAUGGGAGACCGCCUGGGAAUACCAGGUGCUGUAAGCUUUUCUUUUCUUGUAUCUUGUGCCGUGUUCUCUCUCCAAGAGGGUAGGAUAUGGGUCUUUGGGGAGCCUGGUCUUUAGCUUGGACCAAUGCAAAUACACUUGGAGAUGAGCCUUCAAGAUAAAUGAAAGAAAGAGUCAAAAAAGCACAAAGAGCGGGAGGACUGAGAUCUUGUCAUGAAGCGGAGCAAAGGAGUGGAGCAUGAUGGACUGCAGAGAUAGGCUGUAAAACUAAGCUUGACUGCGUAUCCGGGUGUUUUCUUGAGCGACGCAUUGUUCAUUGAAAGUGAAAUGCUGAUUAUAAUUGAGAGAACCACACAGGAGCACGUUCAAAUAGCUCAUUUGGAGCCUGUGUCAUCGCUUACGGCCAUACCACCCUGAACACGCCCGAUCUCGUCCGAUCUCGGAAGCUAAGCAGGGUCGGGCCUGGUUAGUACUUGGAUGGGAGACAGCCUGGGAAUACCAGGUGCUGUAAGCUUUUCUUUUCUUGUAUCUUGUGCCGUAUUCCCUCUCCAAGAGGGUAGGAUAUGGGUCUUUGGGGAGCCUGGUCUUUAGCUUGGACCAAUGCAAAUACACUUGGAGAUGAGCCUUCAAGAUAAAUGAAAGAAAGAGUCAAAAAAGCACAAAGAGCGGGAGGACUGAGAUCUUGUCAUGAAGCGGAGCAAAGGAGUGGAGCAUGAUGGACUGCAGAGAUAGGCUGUAAAACUAAGCUUGACUGCGUAUCCGGGUGUUUUCUUGAGCGACGCAUUGUUCAUUGAAAGUGAAAUGCUGAUUAUAAUUGAGAGAACCACACAGGAGCACGUUCAAAUAGCUCAUUUGGAGCCUGUGUCAUCGCUUACGGCCAUACCACCCUGAACACGCCCGAUCUCGUCCGAUCUCGGAAGCUAAGCAGGGUCGGGCCUGGUUGGUACUUGGAUGGGAGACCGCCUGGGAAUACCAGGUGCUGUAAGCUUUUCUUUUCUUGUAUCUUGUGCCGUGUUCCCUCUCCAAGAGGCUAGGAUAUGGGUCUUUGGGGAGCCUGGUCUUUAGCUUGGACCAGUGCAAAUACACUUGGAGAUGAGCCUUCAAGAUAAAUGAAAGAAAAAGUCAAAAAAGCACAAAGAGCGGGAGGACUGAGAUCUUGUCAUGAAGCGGAGCAAAGGAGUGGAGCAUGAUGGACUGCAGAGAUAGGCUGUAAAACUAAGCUUGACUGCGUAUCCGGGUGUUUUCUUGAGCGACGCAUUGUUCAUUGAAAGUGAAAUGCUGAUUAUAAUUGAGAGAACCACACAGGAGCACGUUGAAAUAGCUCAUUUGGAGCCUGUGUCAUCGCUUACGGCCAUACCACCCUGAACACGCCCGAUCUCGUCCGAUCUCGGAAGCUAAGCAGGGUCGGGCCUGGUUAGUACUUGGAUGGGAGACCGCCUGGGAAUACCAGGUGCUGUAAGCUUUUCUUUUCUUGUAUCUUGUGCCGUGUUCUCUCUCCAAGAGGCUAGGAUAUGGGUCUUUGGGGAGCCUGGUCUUUAGCUUGGACCAAUGCAAAUACACUUGGAGAUGAGCCUUCAAGAUAAAUGAAAGAAAGAGUCAAAAAGCACAAAGAGCGGGAGGACUGAGAUCUUGUCAUGAAGCGGAGCAAAGGAGUGGAGCAUGAUGGACUGCAGAGAUAGGCUGUAAAACUAAGCUUGACUGCGUAUCCGGGUGUUUUCUUGAGCGACGCAUUGUUCAUUGAAAGUGAAAUGCUGAUUAUAAUUGAGAGAACCACACAGGAGCACGUUGAAAUAGCUCAUUUGGAGCCUGUGUCAUCGCUUACGGCCAUACCACCCUGAACACGCCCGAUCUCGUCCCAUCUCGGAAGCUAAGCAGGGUCGGGCCUGGUUAGUACUUGGAUGGGAGACCGCCUGGGAAUACCAGGUGCUGUAAGCUUUUCUUUUCUUGUAUCUUGUGCCGUGUUCUCUCUCCAAGAGGCUAGGAUAUGGGUCUUUGGGGAGCCUGGUCUUUAGCUUGGACCAAUGCAAAUACACUUGGAGAUGAGCCUUCAAGAUAAAUGAAAGAAAGAGUCAAAAAAGCACAAAGAGCGGGAGGACUGAGAUCUUGUCAUGAAGCGGAGCAAAGGAGUGGAGCAUGAUGGACUGCAGAGAUAGGCUGUAAAACUAAGCUUGACUGCGUAUCCGGGUGUUUUCUUGAGCGACGCAUUGUUCAUUGAAAGUGAAAUGCUGAUUAUAAUUGAGAGAACCACACAGGAGCACGUUGAAAUAGCUCAUUUGGAGCCUGUGUCAUCGCUUACGGCCAUACCACCCUGAACACGCCCGAUCUCGUCCGAUCUCGGAAGCUAAGCAGGGUCGGGCCUGGUUAGUACUUGGAUGGGAGACCGCCUGGGAAUACCAGGUGCUGUAAGCUUUUCUUUUCUUGUAUCUUGUGCCGUGUUCUCUCUCCAAGAGGCUAGGAUAUGGGUCUUUGGGGAGCCUGGUCUUUAGCUUGGACCAAUGCAAAUACACUUGGAGAUGAGCCUUCAAGAUAAAUGAAAGAAAAAGUCAAAAAGCACAAAGAGCGGGAGGACUGAGAUCUUGUCAUGAAGCGGAGCAAAGGAGUGGAGCAUGAUGGACUGCAGAGAUAGGCUGUAAAACUAAGCUUGACUGCGUAUCCGGGUGUUUUCUUGAGCGACGCAUUGUUCAUUGAAAGUGAAAUGCUGAUUAUAAUUGAGAGAACCACACAGGAGCACGUUGAAAUAGCUCAUUUGGAGCCUGUGUCAUCGCUUACGGCCAUACCACCCUGAACACGCCCGAUCUCGUCAGAUCUCGGAAGCUAAGCAGGGUCGGGCCUGGUUAGUACUUGGAUGGGAGACCGCCUGGGAAUACCAGGUGCUGUAAGCUUUUCUUUUCUUUUUGUAUCUUGUGCCGUGUUCUCUCUCCAAGAGGCUAGGAUAUGGGUCUUUGGGGAGCCUGGUCUUUAGCUUGGACCAAUGCAAAUACACUUGGAGAUGAGCCUUCAAGAUAAAUGAAAGAAAGAGUCAAAAAGCACAAAGAGCGGGAGGACUGAGAUCUUGUCAUGAAGCGGAGCAAAGGAGUGGAGCAUGAUGGACUGCAGAGAUAGGCUGUAAAACUAAGCUUGACUGCGUAUCCGGGUGUUUUCUUGAGCGACGCAUUGUUCAUUGAAAGUGAAAUGCUGAUUAUAAUUGAGAGAACCACACAGGAGCACGUUCAAAUAGCUCAUUUGGAGCCUGUGUCAUCGCUUACGGCCAUACCACCCUGAACACGCCCGAUCUCGUCCGAUCUCGGAAGCUAAGCAGGGUCGGGCCUGGUUAGUACUUGGAUGGGAGACCGCCUGGGAAUACCAGGUGCUGUAAGCUUUUCUUUUCUUGUAUCUUGUGCCGUGUUCUCUCUCCAAGAGGCUAGGAUAUGGGUCUUUGGGGAGCCUGGUCUUUAGCUUGGACCAAUGCAAAUACACUUGGAGAUGAGCCUUCAAGAUAAAUGAAAGAAAAAGUCAAAAAAGCACAAAGAGCGGGAGGACUGAGAUCUUGUCAUGAAGCGGAGCAAAGGAGUGGAGCAUGAUGGACUGCAGAGAUAGGCUGUAAAACUAAGCUUGACUGCGUAUCCGGGUGUUUUCUUGAGCGACGCAUUGUUCAUUGAAAGUGAAAUGCUGAUUAUAAUUGAGAGAACCACACAGGAGCACGUUGAAAUAGCUCAUUUGGAGCCUGUGUCAUCGCUUACGGCCAUACCACCCUGAACACGCCCCAUCUCGUCCGAUCUCGGAAGCUAAGCAGGGUCGGGCCUGGUUAGUACUUGGAUGGGAGACCGCCUGGGAAUACCAGGUGCUGUAAGCUUUUCUUUUCUUGUAUCUUGUGCCGUGUUCUCUCUCCAAGAGGCUAGGAUAUGGGUCUUUGGGGAGCCUGGUCUUUAGCUUGGACCAAUGCAAAUACACUUGGAGAUGAGCCUUCAAGAUAAAUGAAAGAAAGAGUCAAAAAAGCACAAAGAGCGGGAGGACUGAGAUCUUGUCAUGAAGCGGAGCAAAGGAGUGGAGCAUGAUGGACUGCAGAGAUAGGCUGUAAAACUAAGCUUGACUGCGUAUCCGGGUGUUUUCUUGAGCGACGCAUUGUUCAUUGAAAGUGAAAUGCUGAUUAUAAUUGAGAGAACCACACAGGAGCACGUUGAAAUAGCUCAUUUGGAGCCUGUGUCAUCGCUUACGGCCAUACCACCCUGAACACGCCCGAUCUCGUCCGAUCUCGGAAGCUAAGCAGGGUCGGGCCUGGUUAGUACUUGGAUGGGAGACCGCCUGGGAAUACCAGGUGCUGUAAGCUUUUCUUUUCUUGUAUCUUGUGCCGUGUUCUCUCUCCAAGAGGCUAGGAUAUGGGUCUUUGGGGAGCCUGGUCUUUAGCUUGGACCAAUGCAAAUACACUUGGAGAUGAGCCUUCAAGAUAAAUGAAAGAAAGAGUCAAAAAAGCACAAAGAGCGGGAGGACUGAGAUCUUGUCAUGAAGCGGAGCAAAGGAGUGGAGCAUGAUGGACUGCAGAGAUAGGCUGUAAAACUAAGCUUGACUGCGUAUCCGGGUGUUUUCUUGAGCGACGCAUUGUUCAUUGAAAGUGAAAUGCUGAUUAUAAUUGAGAGAACCACACAGGAGCACGUUGAAAUAGCUCAUUUGGAGCCUGUGUCAUCGCUUACGGCCAUACCACCCUGAACACGCCCGAUCUCGUCAGAUCUCGGAAGCUAAGCAGGGUCGGGCCUGGUUAGUACUUGGAUGGGAGACCGCCUGGGAAUACCAGGUGCUGUAAGCUUUUCUUUUCUUGUAUCUUGUGCCGUGUUCUCUCUCCAAGAGGCUAGGAUAUGGGUCUUUGGGGAGCCUGGGGCCUCAUGUAUCAACGCUUGCGGCGCAAGAAAACCUUGCGUACGCCAAAAUCGGCGCACACGUCCAGAUUUAUCAUCGCGAAACGAGCGUCGGUUCCAGCGCUAAUCAACGCAAAGUCAGGAGGUGGUGUAGAAAUUGGCGUUGAGCCGAAAACUUGCGUUGACUGUGAUUCGCACUUUGGCGACGCUGUGUGGUGACUCACUAUGUGACAAGCGUCCACACAUUGCAGUGGAUUAAUUGUUAAUCCGACAGCUGUUCGUGUGUUAAUUGUGUUAAUUUGUAACACAUUAACACAAACACGAACACCUGUCGGUAUUACGGGAGGGGCUAUAAAAGAGCGCAUACAACAACACAUACAGAAGACAACAUUCAACAAUGGCAGCACUUGCGCUGAUCGAAGAUAUUUAUAACCGUGCCAUCCGACGUGAGCGUCAUUUUAUGGAGCGGGAGGACCUGCUCCAGAAUACAGACGAAUGGCUCAUGAGCCGGUUCCGGCUACCGCGGGCCAUCCUCCUGGAGCUGUGCGAGGAGCUCCGGCCGGCGCUGGAGCGAUCAACGGCCAGAAGCCGAGCGGUGCCCGUGCCAACGCUGGUGCUGGGCACACUCGGCUUCUUGGCCACAGGAUCCUUCCAGCGGGAGAUGGCGGACCGUGCUGGGGUGAGCCAGUCCACCAUCAGCCGGGCCAUGCCUACGGUGGUGGACCAGCUGAUCCGCCUCUCCAGUCCCUUGACGAGUACGCUUACGUCAACCGAAAAGGCGUUCACUCCAUCAAUGUGCAGAUCAUCUGUGAUGCACAGAUGAAUCUGCUCAACAUUGUUGCGAGGUGGCCCGGUUCAACGCACGACUCGCACAUCAUGUACAACAGCACUGUUGGGGAGAGGCUCCAGGCAGGUGCAGUUACAGACGGGUGGCUGCUGGGUGAGUAAAUAUGUAAUGAUAUAAUGUUAUUCAAAAAUUUGGCGUGCAUCAGUGACUUGAACUAAAUGUGUGCAACGCUGAUAUAUUGUACUCUGCGUUUGAUUGCGAGUACUCGAUGGAUGUUGUGGGUUAUUGAUUGCUUAUUGCUUGCUAUUAUUACAACGCAUCAAGCCCAAAACUUAACACACUGUGCUUUUUCUGAAGGUGACAGUGGCUACCCCCUCAGGACCUGGCUGAUGACCCCUCUCCACAACCCCCACACUGACCGAGAGCGGAGGUACAACCAUCUCCACUCUCGCUCUCGGUCAGUGGUGGAGAGGGCCAUCGGCCAGUUAAAGGGUCGGUGGCGCUGUCUGGACCGGAGUGGCGGCGUGCUUCUUUAUCGUCCGGAGAAGGUGUGCCGCAUUGUGAUGGCGUGUGGCGUCCUUCACAAUGUGGCACAACUGCACCACAUCCCCAUGGCUGAGCAGCACGUCGCCCCAAAUGAUGAUCCAGCAGCAGACGGAGGGAUGCGAGCUGAUCCCUGCCGGGCCGCCGUCCUCGCGCGGGAGAAUCUCAUCGCCACAAUGUGAAUGGGUAAAAAGUGAAUACACAGUUUAAUGAGCCAAAUUAUUUUAUUUUGUCCACCAGACGCUCGAGGACAUUGACGAGGCGGUCCAGCCGCUCGUUGAUCCCCGCGAUCCCCCUAAUUAUUUGUUCCUGUGAUUGCAGGACCGCCUCCGUGAGGACCCUUCCACUGCGUCCGGGUGGUCCAGCGGAAGCGCCGCGCCUGGUGGACGCUCCAUCGCUUGUCGGCGCGCUGGUGCUGGUGCUGGUGCUGGUGCUGGUGCUGGUGCUGGUGCUGGGGCCGGGGGCGGCCCGAAUGCCGCUGGUCCUGGCCGACGACUCCGAGCCGGCGGACGGGCUGCCGCGGGCCGGGGUUCCACAAGCCGGCGACACGGCCGACACAUUGAUUUCU
rnacentral:lncRNA from 1 species